UUUCACUGCGACUGUUCCCAU
rnacentral:miRNA from 1 species